rnacentral:rRNA from 1 species
UACGGAGGGUGCAAGCGUUAUCCGGAUUCACUGGGUUUAAAGGGUGCGUAGGCGGUCCUAUAAGUCAGUUGUGAAAUACGGCAGCUUAACUGUCGAGGUGCAAUUGAUACUGCAGGACUUGAGUACAGACGAGGUAGGCGGAAUUGACGGUGUAGCGGUGAAAUGCUUAGAUAUCGUCAAGAACACCGAUAGCGAAGGCAGCUUACUAGACUGUAACUGACGCUGAGGCACGAAAGUGUGGGGAUCAAACAGG